rnacentral:sRNA from 1 species
AGACUGUCUUCUGAAGAUUGAUGUCUAUUUCCUUGAGCUCUUUAAUUUUGUUGCCAAUUUGGAUAAACAUGGCACAAAUCCAGCAGGGAGGUCCAGAUGAAAAAGAAAAGACUACCGCACUGAAAGAUUUAUUAUCUAGGAUAGAUUUGGAUGAACUAAUGAAAAAAGAUGAACCGCCUCUUGAUUUUCCUGAUACCCUGGAAGGAUUUGAAUAUGCUUUUAAUGAAAAGGGACAGUUAAGACACAUAAAAACUGGGGAACCAUUUGUUUUUAACUACCGGGAAGAUUUACACAGAUGGAACCAGAAAAGAUACGAGGCUCUAGGAGAGAUCAUCACGAAGUAUGUAUAUGAGCUCCUGGAAAAGGAUUGUAAUUUGAAAAAAAUAUCUAUUCCAGUAGAUGCCACUGAGAGUGAACCAAAGAGUUUUAUCUUUAUGAGUGAGGAUGCUUUGACAAAUCCACAGAAACUGAUGGUUUUAAUUCAUGGUAGUGGUGUUGUCAGGGCAGGGCAGUGGGCUAGAAGACUUAUUAUAAAUGAAGAUCUGGACAGUGGCACACAGAUACCGUUUAUUAAAAGAGCUGUGGCUAUGUUCAGAAAAAAGCUGAAUACAUAUGAUUCUGAAGCUAUUAGAAUUUUUUCCCCUGUCACAAUAGCAGUAAGAAAAUUGCAAUAUAAAUGUCUUCUUGAGUGCAUAGCGUAUGAAAUAAUGUGUUUUUUCCCUGUAGUUUAAAAUGUUAACUGUAUUUUAGGUCUCAUUCUUUGCAUAUGCCUUGACAAUUAUGAUUGCUUGAUUAAAGAAAGA